CGCGGUCCUGAGUGCUGCCUACGCCAGCAAUGGGGUGCUGUCACAGCAGCGAAAACGAAGACUCCGACCAGCCUCGUGUUCCUCACUCAAGUGUCCGAGUUUAGAGUAGAGCACAAGUGGAAAGAGCUGCCUCUGGAACACAUCUCAAGAGCAUUAAUUGCUGUUCUAACACAAAGCCAUUCCUAGAAGCAAGUAUAACACCAAAACCAUAGAAGGAUCCACUGAAAAAAGAGAGUUCCAGUGUCUUGGAUGAACAUAGA